rnacentral:rRNA from 1 species
GACGAAGGGGGCAAGCGUUGUCCGGAAUUACUGGGCGUAAAGGGCGCGUAGGCGGCCUGAUAAGUAUGGGGUGAAAUCUCACGGCUCAACCGUGAGGCUGCCUUGUAGACUGUCAGGCUUGAGCACGGUAGAGGCAGAUGGAAUUCCCGGUGUAGCAGUGAAAUGCGUAGAGAUCGGGAGGAACACCAGUGGCGAAGGCGAGCUACUGGACAAUUGCUGACGCUGAGGCUCGAAGGCCAGGGUAGCGAAAGGG